rnacentral:misc_RNA from 1 species
ACUGCUUCCGGUUUCGCUCCACAUGGAUUGUUUUGUUCUGAAACAGCAAGUGAAAGAAAUACAUAUUUCAGACUCUGUAAGGAUGACACAGUGAUGUUCUGAAAUGUGUUGCGUAGUCAUUCUGCUGUUUACAGGCAACAAAUGUGCUAUCAGUGGAACCACCUGGCAGUGGUCAGGUUGUGCCAGAAGGUAGAUAAUCAAACAGAACCUGUAAUCUCACAGUGUACAAGUGAGGCAUCCCAAGAAUGCUUUGCAGAAUGUGAUGACCAGAUUGCCGAAGCUCUGCUGAAUGUUACCUGUCACUGCACCCGCUCAUUAAUCAGUGACACAGACUUGCUGAACUAUGGUUCUGAAUCUGAUGUUGACUCCUCAGAUUCCAGUGUUUCUUCAGAAGAUUCUUUUAAGUCUUUGGAUUCAGAUUCAGGUGGGAUAGAUAUUGAUGGAGAAGAUUUAGGUCUUUAUGUGCUUGACAAUCAUUCUGCAGACACUUAUAAGGAAUCAGAAACUGUGAAUGAGCUACUUUCACAAUUGUCACUUGAUUCUUCAGCGAAAGGAUUUUAUUUAACAUCAGGAGAAGCAGCGGAUGUCUCAUUUCUAGAUGCUUACAAACAAGAGUCUAAUAAGCUUUUGUUUGAACAAGAAAUUAGUGACAGCCUAUGUAGGAAGUUAGGUACAGACUCUGAUCUUUCUGAAGUAGAUAAAGCCUGUAAAGUCCAACAUCAGACGAAGAAGAGGAUGAAGAAGAUAGUGUAUUAUGCAGCAAAAAUGAUGAUAAAGCAGAACUUGAGCUGAUGCAGCAGAUGGGCUUACCUGUCUCUCUGGGAUCACAGAAAAAGAACUACAUGGAGUCAAGUCCAAGCAAGCGCAAUCGUCGAAAACGUCCCCAGAAGAAACGAGCUUUGAAGCACAGAAAGACAAGCAGUUCUGCACUUGACAUGAAUUUUGGCUGUAACAAUGGAGAGUCACAUGAUCUGCACAUCACUGAUGAAGCUGCACAGGCAGAGCUAAACGGUAUAGAUGAAGUGGGCACCAGUGAUCCAAAUAAACCCAUCAUGUCUGAAGAGGAGGCUCGAUUCCAAAACUUUUGGAUGCAGCAUGGAGAAAUGUUAGUGUGGCGCCGUUGGGUUCAGAAAUACCCCGAUCAUAUCAAUUACGACAUGGUGGCAUCAGUACCACCCAUAGAAGAAGUGGAGGUAGUGGAAGAAGUUGGAGUAGUAAAUGAUGUGCAAGGUGUGGUAGAACAAUGUGAGAAAACCAAGAGUUGCAGUCAAGACGACGCUGAGCAAAUGGCUAAAAUAACAAGUAGAACAAAAGGGAGGGAAGUGGAGGUAACUCAAGACGUUGAGGCAGUUCAAAGGGGACAGAACAAUAAUGCUAGAGAGAUUAGUGAGACAUCAAUAACAGAAGAAGAGCUUAUUUUAAAUCAAGGCAUAAUAGAUGUUCAUUCAGUGGAUACCAGUGGAGAUGCUCAUUACAAAACUUUUACAAAAAGAGAUCCUGGAGAUAGUGCAGCAGCUUCUGAAUCAUUGGAGAUGACAAGAACCAAUCAAAACACAUUAUUGACAAGCACCGAUGAAAACACACCAUUAUUAAUCCAGGAAUCAGAUGCUAGGGUACAAGAAAAUGUAGACACAAAAGAGGAGAACAAAAUUCCUCUGUGGUCAGAAAACUCCAUCCAGGCAGCAGUAGAAAACAGUGACAACCAGGUCAAUCCAGAGAAAGAUGUGAACUGUAUUGUGCAUGCAAUGGACCAUUUUCAGGAGAGAAGUGAAUUGAUACAGAGUGGGGAAGAAAAUGGUGACUAUGUAGAUAGAAAAAGUGCAGCAGAAAGUGUGAGUUUGCCAUCUUUUACUCCCUUACAUUUAGUGGGUCUGAAUCAAGCUAUUCAUGCUGUCAUGAACCGAGUAAGUGAACCAGAUAUUUACAAGUCUGAGAAGGAGAGCAUGCCAGCAGAAGGUAAUCAGGAUGUGACAGAGCCUGUCCAUUCCCUUGCCGAGAAACCUUUUGACCCAUCUUCCUCUACUAGCCAAUCAGCUGAAGCAAUCUUCAUGAUGCAUUCUUAUGCAGGGCCAUCAGAGCAUCAGGAAAACCGUCUCUGCAAUGGCAGCGAGUGUGAAAAGUCUGCAGAAUCAGAUGAGGAAAAGCCACAAGAGUAUAGCCAGGAAGAAGUUAAUGCCAUGUGGCAAGACCUUUGGAAUGAGCAUUACACAGAAACAUACUGGUAUUACUACAACUCUUACACCACCUGGCUCAGCAGUGGGGACAACAACUACCAUCACCCAGAAAAUGAUGGAGAAGAAGUGAUAUUCUACGAGCACAUUGAUGUUCAACCGGAACAAGAUGGUGGUCAGUCUUCAGAUAAUGCCAGUGCAGAUAGAAGGGAAACAACUCAAGGACACACACUGUAGCAGCAGAAGAAGAGAGUUCAGCAACAUGCAAAAAGAAAUUUAUAUUGGACACCUUUCGGGCAUUAGGACUUGCCUUGCCCACCACUGAUGAAGAUGGACCAGAGGGUAGCAGCAGUGGCAGUAUUCAAAGUGGCUAUGUCA